GGGUGUAGUUCCAUGGUAGAGCGUGUGCUUACAUGCACAAGGUCCUGGGUUCAAUUCCCAGUUCCUCCA
rnacentral:tRNA from 1 species